UACGUAGGUGACCAGCGUUGUCCGGAUUUACUGGGCGUAAAGAGCGCGCAGGCGGUCGUUCAAGUCGAGUGUGAAAGCCCCGGGCUCAACCUGGGAACCGCGCUUGAGACUGGCACGCUCGAGUUCGGGAGAGGAUGGUGGAAUUCCCAGUGUAGAGGUGAAAUUCGUAGAUAUUGGGAAGAACACCGAUGGCGAAGGCAGCCAUCUGGACCGACACUGACGCUGAGGCGCGAAAGCGUGGGGAGCAAACAGG
rnacentral:rRNA from 1 species